CAGAUAAUUAUGUAGCACACAUGCUGCCAUGACUACCAUGUCUAUAUGACACGGCAGCAUGGAUAUUCAUGACAAAAAAACCCUCCAUCUGGCCGCAAGAAUGCCAAAGGCACACUCCACUGUCAUGCGAGCUCUUGACAGCCUGUAGUUAAAGUUACUAUUAUGCCUUGACAGGUUGCUGCCAGGGUAGGGUCGCAUCAGGUACCGCUUCAAGGGAAACGCAGCAUCCCCUACCAUCAUGUAUGGCACGUCACCUUGCUGACCAUAACCAGGCAGGGGGGUGUCUUCUGGCACAUUCAAAGUCUUUUCACUCAUUCCCCUCCCCAGUGCUGAAUGAGCGAACACCCCACCAUCACUUGCACGGCCAAAAUCGCCAACUUGUAUGAUUAUAAAUUUUGAGUCCGCAUCCACCAGGGCCAACAAGAUUAUUGAAAAUGUUUUUUUAUAAUUAAAAAACUGGCUGCAUGAUUUUUUGGGUGCUUGAAUUUGAAUGUGCUUCCCAUCGGUGGCCCCAAUGCAAUUUGGAAACUGCCAUCUUCUCCAAAAGCGCUCUGCGAUAGCUGUCCAUGAUUCCUCCGUUGGUUUCGGCAUUUGGGUCUCCAUCAUGUGAUCGACAACUGCCCUACAGGUCAUGUGAACGGAGUCUGCCACUGUUUUUCUGCCCAGCCUGUAGGCAAGAGCCAGACUCCUGAAAGACUCUCCGGUGGCAAGGAAUCUUUGUGAAGUGCCAAGGUCGCUGGAAGGACCUAAGGGACCAAUUUUCCAAAAAAAGUUUACAACCACGGAGUGGAUCGGCAGCAGGACCCCAAAAGGAGUGGAAAUACACCCAAGCCCUGUCUUUUCUUAUUCCCCACCUUCAACCCAGGAGCUCUAGAAGCAACCUAGACCAAGUUGAAGAUUGGGAGGCAUUGGACCUGAGCCAUGGAGAGGAUGUGCGGGAGGAGAAUGACCAUCAACCAGAUCAGCAUUCUCAACCUGGUUCUUCAACCAACAGGCCCUACAGCAGACCUGCUGCACGAAAGAGGGCCUCAGCACCUUUGGAGUCUUUGGAGGAUAGACUGCUGGCUAUGGUCCAGGAGCCUCCACAGCACAUGCACCAUCGUGUGCCACAGGAGGAGGAUGAGAUGUUACAUUUUGCCCUCAGUCUGGUGCCCUUGCUGAACAAAUUAAGUGGCUGGGGUAAGCUGAGGGCAAAGAUUGCUCUUUUAGAAGGGCUCCAGGGUGUCCAUGAUCUGGACCAAGGGCACCAGCAGGCCCAGAUGCAGGGCCCUGGUCUAAUUAGGCCAUGGGAUCAGACAUCCCAGCCAUCCCACCAGAGCCACCAGCCAUCCCACCAGAGCCGCCAACCCCAACUAUUAUAUGCACCACCCUCACAUGCACAGACAAAGAGGUACAGACCAAGUGAGGAGACUUGGGGGGAAUGUGGUGAGAGUACUGUGCCCUCACCCAUUCCUCACUACACAGACUUAUAGUGUAUUAAUAGUGCAAUA